GACGAACGCUGGCGGGGUGCUUAACACAUGCAAGUCGAACGGAAAGGCCCUGCUUUUGUGGGGUGCUCGAGUGGCGAACGGGUGAGUAACACGUGAGUAACCUGCCCUUGACUUUGGGAUAACUUCAGGAAACUGGGGCUAAUACCGGAUAGGAGCUCCUGCUGCAUGGUGGGGGUUGGAAAGUUUCGGCGGUUGGGGAUGGACUCGCGGCUUAUCAGCUUGUUGGUGGGGUAGUGGCUUACCAAGGCUUUGACGGGUAGCCGGCCUGAGAGGGUGACCGGCUACAUUGGGACUGAGAUACGGCCCGGACUCCUACGGGAGGCAGCAGUGGGGAAUAUUGCACAAUGGGCGGAAGCCUGAUGCAGCAACGCCGCGUGCGGGAUGACGGCCUUCGGGUUGUAAACCGCUUUCGCCUGUGACGAAGCGUGAGUGACGGUAAUGGGUAAAGAAGCACCGGCUAACUACGUG
rnacentral:rRNA from 1 species